rnacentral:rRNA from 1 species
UACGUAGGUGGCGAGCGUUGUCCAGAAUUACUGGGUGUAAAGGGCGUGUAGGCGGGAAUGUAAGUCAGAUGUGAAAUCCCAGGGCUCAACUCUGGAGCUGCAUCUGAAACUAUAUUUCUUGAGUGCCGGAGAGGAUAGCGGAAUUCCUAGUGUAGCGGUGAAAUGCGUAGAUAUUAGGAGGAACACCAGUGGCGAAGGCGGCUAUCUGGACGGUAACUGACGCUGAGGCGCGAAAGCGUGGGGAGCAAACAGG